rnacentral:rRNA from 1 species
CGGUUGAUCCUGCCGGACCCGACUGCUAUUUGGGUGAGGAUAAGCCAUGCGAGUUGAAUGGGAUACCUAAAUUUCCCAUGGCAAACUGCUCAGUAACACAUGAUCAACUUACCCUAUAGAGAAAAAUAACCUCGGGAAACUGAGGAUAAUGUUUCAUAGUUGAAUAGGCUUGGAAAAGUUUUUCAAUAAAAGGGAUAAGAAAAUGGGUUUUUAUCCGCCAUAGGAUAGGAUCGUGGUCGAUUAUGGUUGUUGGUGAGGUAAUGGCUCACCAAGCCGAUAAUCGAUAGGGGCCGUGAGAGCGGGUGCCCCGAGAUGGGUACUGAGACAACGACCCAGGCCUUACGAGGCGCAGCAGGCGCGAAAACUCCGCAAUACACGAAAGUGUGACGGGGUUACCCAAAGUGUUCAUUUAUGAACUGUGGUAGGUGAGUAAUGUCCCCUACUAGAAAGGAGAGGGCAAGGCUGGUGCCAGCCGCCCCGGUAAAACCAGCUCUUCAAGUGGUCGGGAUAAUUAUUGGGCUUAAAGUGUCCGUAGCCGGUUUAGUUAGUUCCUGGUAAAAUCGGGUGGCUUAACUAUCUGCAUGCUAGGAAUACUGCUAUACUAAAGGGCGGGAGAGGUCUGAGGUACUACAGGGGGAGGGGUGCAAUCUCAAAAUCCUUGUAGGACCACCACUUGCCAAAGCGUUAGACUUGAACGCGCCUGACGGUGAGGGACGAAAGCCAGGGGAGCGAACCGGAUUAUAUACCCGGGUGGUCCUGGCCGAGAACGAUGCUUACUAGGUGAUGGCACGGCCAUGAGCCGUGUCAGUGCCGUAGGGAAACCGUUAAGUGUGCCGCCUGGGAAGUACGGUCGCAAGGCUAAAACUUAAAGGAAUUGGCGGGGGAGCAC